rnacentral:rRNA from 1 species
CUCGUAGGCGGUUUGGUAAGUCGGGUGUGAAACUCUGGGCUCAACCCAGAGAGGCCACCCGAUACUGCUAUGACUAGAGUACGGUAGGGGAGCGGGGAAUUCAUGGUGUAGCGGUGAAAUGCGCAGAUAUCAUGAGGAACACCAGCGGCGAAGGCGCCGCUCUGGGCCGUAACUGACGCUGAGGAGCGAAAGCAUGGGUAGCAAACA